rnacentral:rRNA from 1 species
GUAGGGAAUAUUGGUCAAUGGACGAAAGUCUGAACCAGCCAUUCCGCGUGCAGGAAGAAGAUUCUAUGGAUUGUAAACUGCUUUUAGCAGAGAAGAAACGCCUUCAUUGAUGAGGGUUUGACGGUAUCUGCGGAAUAAGCACCGGCUAACUCCGUGCCAGCAGCCGCGGUAAUACGGGGGGUGCAAGCGUUAUCCGGAAUCACUGGGUUGAAAGGGUGCGUAGGCGGGAAAUUAAGUCAGUGGUGAAAGUCUGUUGCUUAACGAUAGAAUUGCCGUUGAUACUGAUUUUCUUGAAUUGGGUUGAGGUUAGCGGAAUGUGACAUGUAGCGGUGAAAUGCAUAGAUAUGUCAUGGAACACCAAUUGCGAAGGCAGCUAGCUGGGCCUUGAUUGACGCUGAGGCACGAAAGCGUGGGUAGCGAACAGGAUUAGAAACUCUUGUAGUCC